GUAGGGAAUAUUGCGCAAUGGAGGCAACUCUGACGCAGCCAUGCCGCGUGCAGGAAGAAGGCGCUACGCGUUGUAAACUGCUUUUAACCGGGAAGAAACCCCGGGACGUGUCCUGGGUUGACGGUACCGGAGGAAUAAGCACCGGCUAACUUCGUGCCAGCAGCCGCGGUAAUACGAAGGGUGCAAGCGUUAUCCGGAUUCAUUGGGUUUAAAGGGUGCGUAGGCGGAGCGUUAAGUCAGUGGUGAAAUCCUGCAGCUUAACUGUAGACUUGCCAUUGAUACUGGCGCUCUUGAGUGCGCUUGAAGUGGGCGGAAUGUGCCGUGUAGCGGUGAAAUGCUUAGAUAUGGCACAGAACACCAAUUGCGAAGGCAGCUCACUAAGGCGAUACUGACGCUGAGGCACGAAAGCGUGGGGAUCGAACAGGAUUAGAUACCCUGGUAGUCC
rnacentral:rRNA from 1 species